AUUGAACGCUGGCGGCAUGCCUUACACAUGCAAGUCGAACGGCAGCGCGGGAGCAAUCCUGGCGGCGAGUGGCGAACGGGUGAGUAAUAUAUCGGAACGUGCCCAGUAGUGGGGGAUAGCCCGGCGAAAGCCGGAUUAAUACCGCAUACGACCUACGGGUGAAAGGGGGGGAUCGCAAGACCUCUCGCUAUUGGAGCGGCCGAUAUCAGAUUAGGUAGUUGGUGGGGUAAAGGCCUACCAAGCCUGCGAUCUGUAGUUGGUCUGAGAGGACGACCAGCCAGACUGGGAGUGAGACACGGCCCAUACUCCUGCGGGAGGCAGCAGUGGGGAAUGUUGGACAAUGGGGGCGAGCCUGAUCCAGCAAUGCCGCGUGCAGGCAGAAGGCCUUCGGGUUGUAAACUGCUUUUGUCAGUGAAGAGAUCCUGUAGGCUAAUACCUUGGGGGGAUGACGGUACCUGAAGAAUAAGCACCGGCUAACUACGUGCCAGCCGCCGCGGUAAGAC
rnacentral:rRNA from 1 species